rnacentral:lncRNA from 1 species
GCAUGCUAAAAGUCAAUGUUGCACAGCGUAAACGAAUAAACAUGCAACCUCCUGUCCAAAAUGUUAGAUCACUUUUUAUCUUUUCUCCUACAAACAGGUUUCGUGUGUUAUGUCACAAGAUAGUUUAUUCUCGAUAUUUUGAUCCUUUUAUGGUUAUAAUGAUAGUAUUAAGUUCUCUGGUACUUUGUAUUCAAGAUCCAGUAAAUGAUAACAAUUCUAUUAAUUUA